GGGCAAGUGGUAUAAAGGUUAGCAUAAUUGACUGUGACUCAAUUGGUCCGUGUUCGAUUCACGGCUUGCCCA